AGUGCUAUAGCUCAGUGGCAGAGCAUUUGUUUUGCACACAGAAGAGCCCCAGGUUCAAUCCUCGGCAUCUCUA